CCACUCCGCACUAUCUGACGAAGCACGUACUACUUUUUCUUGCGGGGAUACAAAAACAAAAUUUUAAGAGGCGGGGAAGAGAAUCUUAGAACUUGCUUUUUUCAAAAGUAUUUUGUGAAACUACCAUUUUUCCUAGAGUUGAAUUUUAAAGGUAAAUGUGAAGGAACAAGGCAGGCUUUUGAGACAGGAGGAGUUCAUUGUGUGGCACGGGAGGCUGAGGAAGAAUAUGAUGCGUCACAUCUUCCUUUUUGAGGAUCUCGUUCUCUUCAGUAAAGCACAGAGAGACCCCCAGAGGAAGGGAUAUGAUGUCUACCACUACAAACACAGCAUCAAACGAAUCGCCAGGCAGAGAAUCAGUCUGUGGGAAUAGGGAACAAGCCAUGCCUUGAUAUAAGACCUAGUGAAGAUCAAAUAAGCGAUCGUUCUAUUAGUAUACAACAACUCACAAGAGGUAAUAUAUUUCUAGAGGCCUUUCUAAU